rnacentral:rRNA from 2 species
GGGAAUGCCUUUUUAACGGCGACCUGAAGCGGCAACAGCUCAAAUUUGAAAUCUGGCCUUCUGGUCCGAAUUGUAAUUUGUAGAGGAUGCUUUUGGUGCGGUACCUUCCGAGUUCCCUGGAACGGGACGCCUUAGAGGGUGAGAGCCCCGUACGGUUGGAUACCUAGCCUCUGUAUAGCUCCUUCAACGAGUCGAGUAGUUUGGGAAUGCUGCUCUAAAUGGGAGGUAAAUUUCUUCUAAAGCUAAAUACCGGCCAGAGACCGAUAGCGCACAAGUAGAGUGAUCGAAAGAUGAAAAGUACUUUGAAAAGAGGGUUAAAUAGCACGUGAAAUUGUUGAAAGGGAAGCGCUUAUGACCAGACCUUUGCCUGGCGGAUCAUCCGGUGUUCUCACCGGUGCACUUCGCCAGGCUGAGGCCAGCGUCGAUUUCUGGAGGGGGAUAAAGGCUUCGGGAAUGUGACUCCUUCCGGAAGUGUAUAGCCCGUUGCGUACACCUUUCUGGGGAUCGAGGUUCGCGCUCUGCAGGACGCUGCAUAAUGGUAUCAGUGACCGUCUGAAACCG